rnacentral:rRNA from 1 species
CCCUUUAUCAGUAUUAAGUCUUUCUAUAUCCUUAUAGAAGCAUUUAUGUUAGAACUAGUAAUAAGAAGACCGACCUUCUCUUAAAUGCAGGUGUAAAUCAGAAAGGACAAACCACUGAUAAUUAGCCGCUAAUGAACACAAAACAGCAANCUUAACCAGAAAAUCCUGUUUUACNNNNCUAGUGUUAACCUAACACCAGCGCAUUACAAGAAAGAUUAAAAGAAAAAGAAGGAACUCGGCAAAUAUUAACCCCGCCUGUUUACCAAAAACAUCGCCUCUUGNACCCUUUAUAAGAGGUCCAGCCUGCCCAGUGACUAAGUUCAACGGCCGCGGUAUCCUAACCGUGCGAAGGUAGCGUAAUCACUUGUUCUUUAAAUAAGGACUAGUAUGAAUGGCACCACGAGGGUUAUACUGUCUCCUUUUUCUAAUCAAUGAAACUGAUCUCCCCGUGAAGAAGCGGGGAUAAAUAUAUAAGACGAGAAGACCCUAUGGAGCUUCAAAUGANCAUAGCACUGGCCCUUUCANNNNNCUUCACAUUUCANNNNNGAAACACUAUAUUUAAACAAGCCAAAAUGACUAUUUAUUUUAGGUUGGGGUGACCACGGAGCAAAAACUAACCUCCAUGCUGAACGGAGCUANCUCCUUAGCUAAAAGCUACAGCUUUAAGCAACAACAAACUGACACCAAUUGACCCAAUACUUUGAUCAACGAACCAAGUUACCCUAGGGAUAACAGCGCAAUCCAUUUCAAGAGCUCCUAUCGACAAGUGGGUUUACGACCUCNGAUGUUGGAUCAGGGUAUCCCAGUGGUGCAGCCGCUACUAAAGGUUCGUUUGUUCAACGAUUAAAACCCUACGUGAUCUGAGUUCAGACCGGAGCAAUCCAGGUCAGUUUCUAUCUAUAANAGGGCUUUUUCUAGUACGAAAGGACCGNAAAAAGCAUGGCCAAUACUGAAAGCAAGCCAUCUAACAUAAUUUAUGAUUUCAACUAAAAAAAUAAAUAACCUUAAACNNUCUUCCCAAGAAAAGAGAN